CUAGCGACUUCAGAGUUUGAUCCUGGCUCAGAACGAACGCUGGCGGCACGCUUAACACAUGCAAGUCGGACGGUGAAUGUAGCUUGCUACAUUCAUAGUGGCGGACGGGUGAGUAAAAUGUAGGAAUCUGCCCAUUGGUCUGGGAUAGCACCGGGAAACUGGUGGUAAUACCGGAUAAGUUGGAGACAAGAAAGGUGAAAAUCGCCGAUGGAGGAGCCUGCACCCGAUUAGAUAGUUGGUAGUGUAAGAGACUACCAAGUCGAUGAUCGGUAGCUGUUCUGAGAGGAAGAUCAGCCACAUUGGGACUGAGAUACGGCCCAA
rnacentral:rRNA from 1 species